rnacentral:tRNA from 1 species
UCCAUGAUGGCCGAGAUUCAGGCAUCGAGCUUUUAACUCGAUCACAGUUAUUCUAACUUCAGGAU